AUGGGUCAUAAAGAAGAGGAAACUAGCAAUGUGAAGAAAAAAAAUUCAUCAUGUGAUGUUGAGGCUUUGAAAAAGUGCUUGGAAGAUAACAAAGGGGAUUAUGUUAAAUGUCAGUCACAAAUUGAGGCUUUUAAAUCAUCAUGCUCAGUCAAGAAACCAAAUUCUUCUCUUGAUUCUUCACCACCACUCAAGACACGUGUCUGA